AGGCUGGUGACAAGCCUCAAGAAUCAAGGCAAGCGACUUCCAAGCCAAACAAGGAACCAGAGAAGCUGAGUUAUAUGGGUGGUGGAGAUGCAUCCAAGUCAUCUACUAUUGACGCCACAGUUGCAGGGAAAGAUCUGCCUCUGAACCAACGUAAUGAAGACUGCUUCCAACAUCAGCCACUGCCACCUCAGCUUCCACCAAGAACACAACAUGUCCCUAGGAGUGAUGACCUCACCGUCUAUUUCCAUGCUGUCAUUUCCAAAGACUUCAAACUGAACUCAACUGACCGGAUAUUCUUAAGAUCUGGAAGUCUUUUUGGAUCUUGGGACAUAGAUGGCCCAGAAAUGUUUGUCACCCGAGUUUUGGGGAAAGAUAGCGUCCUUGUGGCAGGACGAAUGGUGAUUCCCGACAGGAGUAAGAUUGAAAUUCGCUCCAUACCCUAUAAAUAUUUUGUUUAUAGUAAGUGGAAUGGGAAGCACUAUGAUCACGGUACAUAUGAGCACAUCUACCAGACAAACUCCAGGUAUAUUGUCAACAGGUGCCUGUCCAUCAAUCAAGAUCUUUUGACACAUGAAGGUACAGUUGAGUGUCUAAUUCCAAAUACUGCACUUGCAAUUCCAACACAUUUUGUUGAGAUAAGGUUAGACCAGGGGUGGGCAACUGCUGGCCUGCGGCCCCUUUUGAAGUCCCUUGGAUACAUAUCCUAAACUUAUUUGGGGGGGAAUUCAGUCGGGGUCUCAAUUUACUGUUGCAAGUGAAAAUAGUAGAAUACACAAGGUGCAAUUUUGAAAUGUGGUUGUGUAUCAGCAGUUUUUCUCUUAUGGCCGUCACUGAUAGUCAGUCAAUUAGCCAAUGUCAGCAAAAACAAAUGUCUUGCUAAGUUAGUUUAGCGUCCAUCUAUCAUGGUCGAAUUGAUUUAGUGGCAAAAUGAGUAGAAUUGCAUGAAAUUUGUUAGAAAAUUGCAAAAUCUGUUAUUUUCUACAGGGUUUUUCUUGACUAUUUUCUACAUUGUAGAAUAAUAGUGAAGACAUCAAAACUAUGAAAUAACACAUAUCGGAUCAUGUAGUAACCAAAAAAGUGUUCAAAGUAGCCACCCUUUGCCUUGAUGACAGCUUUGCACACUCUUGGCAUUCUCUCAACCAGCUUCAUGAGAUAGUCACCUGGAAUGCAUUUCAAUUAACAGUUUUGCCUUGUUUAAAAGUUCAUUUGUGGAAUUUCUUUCCUCAAUGCGUUUGAGCAAAUCUGUUGAGAAAAGGUAGGGUUGGUACACAGAAGAUAGUCCUAUUUGGUAAAAUACCAAGUCCAUAUUAUGGCAAGAACAGCUCAAUAGUUUUUUAAUUUAACCUUUAUUUAACUAGGCAAGUCAGUUAAGAACAAAUUCUUAUUUACAAUGACGGCCUAACCCGGACGACGCUGGGCCAAUUGUACGCCGCCCUAUGGGACUCCCAAUCUCGGCCGGUUGUGAUACAGCCUGGAAUCGAACCAGGGUCGUUAGUGACAACUCUAGCACUGAGAUGCAGUGCCUUAGAACGCCUCGCCACUCGGGAUCAAAGAGAAACGACUGUCCAUCAUUUUUUUAAUGACAUGAAUGUCAGUCAAUCCGGAGAAUUCAUGUGCAGUCGCUCUCAUGAGGCCUGCCACAGGAACUGCACCUCAGAUUGCAGCCCAAAUAAAUGCUUCACAGAGUUCAAGUAACAGACACACCUCAACAUCAACUGUUCAGAGGAGGCUGCUUGAAUCAGGCCUUUAUGGUCGAUUUGCUACAAUGAAACCACUACUAGAGGACACCAAUAGGAAGAUACUUUCUUGGGCCAAGAAACACGAGCAAUGGACAUUAGAUCGGUGGAAAUCUGUCCUUUGGUCUGAUGAGUUUCCAACACGUGUGGUUCCCACCGUGAAGCAUGGGUAGGAAGUGUGGAGUGGAGUGCUUUGCUGGUGACACUGUGAUUUAUUUAGAAUUCAAGGCACACUUUUAACCAGCAUGGCUACCACAGCAUUCUGCAGCGAUACACCAUCCCAUCUGGUUUGUGCUUAGUGGGACUAUUAUUUGUUUUUCAACAGGACAAUGACCCAACACACCUCCAGGCUGUGUAAAGGCUAUUUGACCAAGAAGGAGAGUGAUGGAGUGCUGCAUCAAAUGACCUGGCCUCCACAAUCACCCAACCUCAAUCCAAUUGAGAUGGUUUGGGGUGAGUUCAACAGCAGAGUGAAGGAAAAGCAGCCAACAUGUGCUCAGCAUAUGUGGGAACUCCUUCAAGACUGUUGGAAAAGUAUUCCUCAUGAAGCUGGUUGAGAGAAUGCAAAGCUGUCAUCAAGGCAAAGUGUAGCUAUUUUGAAGAAUCUAAAAUAUAUUUUGAUUUUGUUAACUUUUUUGGUUACUACAUGAUUCGAUAUGUGUUAUUUCAUAGUUUUGAUGUCUUCACUAUUAUUCUACAAUGUAGAAAAUAGUAAAAAUAAAUAUAUAUAAUAAUAAAGAAAAACCCUUGAAUUAGUAGGUGUGUCCAAUCUUUUGACUGGUACUGGUAAAUAAAUAAAGGUGACAUUCUGUACUGUCGCCUCAUAUAUAAAACAUUUGGCCUCAUAUCCAAAAUGCUGGAAUAUAGAGCCAAAUUCAACUUUUUAGCUAGUGUCCAAAUAAAAUAAGUUGGUGUAUAUUUUAACAAAACUGUGAUAUUCUUUCUCUUAAGGGGAAUGGCACCAGUAUGACGAUGUCAUAUAUCCAGAACCAAAACAAGACGUUUUGUCACGUGUUACAAACUUGUUUCAGUGGUGGGAUAACAUCAAUAGCAACUUAGUAAAGGGAAGACAGCUGGCUGGAAAGGUGAUGUUGGAAGGCAUAUUUGAUCUUCUGAGAACCUGGACUGAAGUGAAUGUGAGGAGUUUCUUUUCCCAGCUUCAGCAAUUCUUCACCACAUACAGCUAUCCCUGUGUCUAUGACGGUGGAAAGACACCAUGGCAAUUAUCGUUUGGAGAAGAACAGGUAUAUUUAAAUUGGACAUCGAUAGAAUGCUGCAUUGCAUGUAUAGUGCUUAUAGAAAGUCUAUACUCCCUGA
rnacentral:lncRNA from 1 species